UACGUAGGGUGCGAGCGUUUAAUCGGAAUUACUGGGCGUAAAGCGUGCGUAGGCGGUUGGCAAAGUCAGCUGUGAAAGCCCCGGGCUUAACCUGGGAAUGGCGGUUGAAACUAGUCGACUAGAAUCUGGCAGAGGGGGGUGGGAAUUCCACGGUGUAGCAGGUGGAAAUGCGUAGAGAAUGGUGGAGGAACAGCCGGAUGGACGGAAGGAGCAGCCCC
rnacentral:rRNA from 1 species